rnacentral:ncRNA from 2 species
AGGUGAACCUGCGGAAGGAUCAUA